GCAACAGCUCAACCUGCAGAUCAGUUGCCAACACAAUAGGCACCAUGCUCCCAGCAUUCACUUGGGUCACCUCCCCCCAACCCUAACCUUUACUUGUGUAACGUCCUUUUCCAUAUAAAUAAGGCGAACACCCCUUCCUCACUCUCUCUUUCCCCUCUUCUCUCUCUCUCUCUCUCUCUCUCUCUCUCUCUCUCUCUCUCUCUCUCUCUCUCUCUCUGCUACUACUUUCUCUCUCCCUUCCAAUCAAACCUCUUCCAUGUGGAACUGCUUUGGCCUAGUGUGCUGUUGAGAUUCGACCUGCCAUUCUAACACAUUACUAAGGACAAGAGUGUCCACGUGAGAAGCACAGAUAGAAGCAUGCAUGGUGUUCCCCUAGGCUCUCCGACAGACCCAACAUGAGGCACAAGGAUAUAAGGGGAAAGAGUGUUUCAUCUUCAGGACCCACAAGGUAGAAAAGAAAACCAUUCUCAAAACAUGUCCUCUAAUCUCACAGAUCCACAGAGAUUGCCUCGGUGCAGCAAAACCCAGCUGGUGUGUAUCCAGUUGACAGGCUGACGAAGAGGGGUGGGAAGGGGAUGAGCCACACAACUCCUGGUCUGGAAGAAAGACACAGCAGAAAUAGCACAUUGUGGAUUCCAAUAUAAAGUACUCAAUUUUGGAUAAUAAAAUAAGGACUUUGGAAAGAUUUUACCUGGAAAAGUAAGAUUUAGAAUAAAUACAAAAAGGUAAGGUUUGCAAGUUUUCUAUCAGAUCAAACCACUGUGUGCCUCCAUAGAAAUAACACACACACACACACACACACACA
rnacentral:lncRNA from 1 species